rnacentral:rRNA from 1 species
GACGAACGCUGGCGGCGUGCCUAAUACAUGCAAGUUGAGCGCUGAAGGUUGGUACUUGUACCAACUGGAUGAGCAGCGAACGGGUGAGUAACGCGUGGGGAAUCUGCCUUUGAGCGGGGGACAACAUUUGGAAACGAAUGCUAAUACCGCAUAAAAACUUUAAACACAAGUUUUAAGUUUGAAAGAUGCAAUUGCAUCACUCAAAGAUGAUCCCGCGUUGUAUUAGCUAGUUGGUGAGGUAAAGGCUCAACAAGGCGAUGAUACAUAGCCGACCUGAGAGGGUGGUCGGCCAAAUUGGGACUGAGACAAGGCCCAAACUCCUAAGGGAGGCAGCAGUAGGGAAUCUUCGGCAAUGGACGAAAGUCUGACCGAGCAACGCCGCGUGAGUGAAGAAGGGUUUCGGAUCGUAAAACUCUGUUGGUAGAGAAGAACGUUGGUGAGAGUGGAAAGCUCAUCAAGUGACGGUAACUACCCAGAAAGGGACGGCUAACUACGUG